rnacentral:rRNA from 1 species
UACGUAGGUGGCAAGCGUUGUCCGGAUUUAUUGGGUUUAAAGGGUGCGUAGGCGGUCUAUUAAGUCAGUUGUGAAAUACGGCAGCUCAACUGUCGAGGUGCAAUUGAUACUGAUGGACUUGAGUACUGAUGAGGUAAGCGGAAUGGACGGUGUAGCGGUGAAAUGCGCAGAUAUCAGGAAGAACACCCGUGGCGAAGGCGGUUCUCUGGGACGGUACUGACGCUGAGACGCGAAAGCGUGGGGAGCGAACAGG